UGGACAGCACUGAGCCAAUUGUGCACCGCCCUAUGGGACUCCCAGUCACGGCCGGAUGUGAUACAGCCUGGAUUCGAACAAGGGACUGUAGUGUAAUUUAGACGAAACAGUCACAUUAGCCUCCAAGGUGCAAACCAUGUCUAGGACACAAAUAAAUAUUGGAUGCAGCUAUGGUGGCACUAGCUAACUCAUGUCUGACUUCAAUGGUGUACUAACUAGCAGCAACAAACUCAAACCAACCAUGGGUCAUAGCAAAACAUGUCACAGUUGGUUGCAUAGUGUAAUGGCGUCACCGGCUUGAAUCUAACCCAACCUUGAGCCAUUCAGUCUACAUCUGUAAAGCAUAGAAUUAGCUUCCAAGUCAGAUUACGCUAUUUCUCAAGCUAUGUUUAUAAUUAAGGGAUGGUGACAAUCGUUGAUUUUCUGUUAGACAAAGUCCACAGAAUGUAUUCUGGGACCUACCAUAAGGAGCAAAGGUGGGUAUCCUAACAUGUCCAGCAAUGUGAUUGCAAUGGUUUAGCGACCUCCAAAAAUGGGUUAAUUCGCUGUUCACUUUCUUUUAGAACAAAAUGCAAUUUACCACUUGGCUCUCUAUUAUACCACCCUGUCACAAGCCCUCCCAGUCAACACUACUUAAUAAGGUUGUCUGCUGCAGUUGUUUGAGUGAUAUCCAGUUUGAAGCCGAACAUGCAUAGAGAAAACCAGCAAGGGGCCCCUCAUUAGCAUCAUGUAGACAUGACCUCGCUUUGAGCAUUACUAUGAAUGGAAUAGUCAGCCACAUGUUGGCAAGUAUCAGCAACCUUCACCUGUCAUCGGCAACAUCUUUCACAGGCUUGCACAAAUACAGAAGGUAACCCACUUCAUUACUUUGAUACAUUUCAUAACCCAAUUGUGAAACAUCAUUUAUGUAAACUGACAUUAUUUGUUGCUUAUUUCCUACUUUUUAGAUGCAUAUAAUGUCCAGGGCAUAACCUAGCCUGGUGGAACCAGCCUGAUCACUGGGUUCACAUUCUAAUUCACUUCCUUUUGUAUGAUAUCUGAAGUGAAAUAGAAAGUAACGCUGCGAUCAAGUUGGUUUCCACCAGGCUAAUCACAACUAGCAUUGAUAAUGUAAUCAGUGCUCUGUAUGUGUGUGACCGACCAGUAUCUUUGAGGGGCCAUGAGAUGAUCUACGCUGCUAUGCCCAUCAAUGGGGCUCUAGCAAAGACCUUGCCCUCCAGCCUCACCUUUUGUCUCCCCACCAAUGGUCGUCAAUGAAGAAUAACAGAAUUAGGUAGGUUUAGUCUGACCUGUUCAAACUUCAACAUAGUAUAUGUUUGUAGGUCGGUUAUCACCUAACCCUAACUGCCAUUGGUAAUAUAUCAGUGAUUGUGUUUGUGAUGCAUGAGAUGCGGAGAGACCUGGCACUCAACACAUCCACUCAACACAUUCACAAUGAGAUGACCGGAGAUGCUCAGUCAUUUGAUGGGGGAGAUCAUAAUUAGGAGGUUGAGGAGGACGACCCUGUCCCAGAGAUCCGUAAAGACCACUUUGAGGAGGCCAUGCGUUUCGCCCGCCGCUCAGUCAGCGACAACGACAUCCGCAAAUACGAGAUGUUCGCACAGACAUUACAGCAGAGCAGAGGCUUCGGCAGCUUCCGGUUCCCCACUAGCUCUGCGCCAGGCGCUGGGCCCAGCCAGAGCUCUGCUGGUGGCAGCAGUGGUACAGUCUUCAAUGAGGACAACGACGACGACCUCUAUGGUUAAACCGCACUGUGGACCAAAACACAACCACUCGGUGGACCAAAGUUUCCUCACAUACAUUCUGGCAAAGCUGUACAAUGCCGCAACACACACACCUAAUACCACAACUAAAACUAAAAAAAGCCUAUUUAAUAUUAUUUACAAACCUCUCUCACCACCCUUUUAUAGUUAGAGACCGCAUGUUGCAGCUUGUCUGUAUUCUGGCUUUGGGAGACAUGUAUUAAUUUCAAACCUUGUAAGGAUUUACACAGAAGGCUGUGGGGGAUUUGGUAGAGUACAUCUGCCUUCUUACUAGCCACUAUUGAAGGAUUCAAUACUAGCCUGUAAUUAAAGGAGAGGGAUUGCUUAUGACUUGUCAUUUUUUUAUAAAUAUAUAUAAUGUUAAAGACAUGUGAAAAUUGAAUUGUAUGAAAUGUAAACAAUAAAUGAACUGGUGAAGUUCAACCACGAAACUAAUACACAAUCUUUAUUGAAUGUUUAAUAGUGCAUUUAAGUGAAAAGUACAAGACAUUUGUGCACAAUCAAAAUGUGCUUAUUCAAGUGUACCACAAACAAUUUUUUAAACAUUGAAAGUUGUGUGAAAUGAAUGCAUUACAAAAAAAGUGAAUCAUACAAGUAAGUGUCUUGGAAUAAAUGUGAUUUACAUUAGUGAAUUAGCAAUUCUUUACUAAACUCAUCUUAAACUGGUGGUUUUAAAAAAGUGUUUUUACAUUUGGUAAGUGAUCUGUUUAGUGCUCUUAUUUGUUUAGUAUUUGGAGAAAAAUAUGUAUAGCCUGAUAUUGUAAAUAAAGUAUAUAAAAAAAA